AUUGAACGCUGGCGGCAGGCCUAACACAUGCAAGUCGAACGAGUGGCGGACGGGUGAGUAAUGUAUGGGAAACUGCCCGAUGGAGGGGGAUAACUACUGGAAACGGUAGCUAAUACCGCAUACCAUCGGAUGUACCCAGAUGGGAUUAGCUAGUAGGUGGGGUAACGGCUCACCUAGGCGACGAUCCCUAGCUGGUCUGAGAGGAUGACCAGCCACACUGGAACUGAGACACGGUCCAGACUCCUACGGGAGGCAGCAGUGGGGAAUAGUGCACAAUGGGGGCAAGCCUGAUGCAGCCAUGCCGCGUGUAUGAAGAAGGCCUUCGGGUUGUAAAGUACUUUCAGCGGGGAGGCGUUACUCGCAGAAGAAGCACCGGCUAACUCCGUGCCAGCAGCCGCGGUAAUAC
rnacentral:rRNA from 1 species